GCUUGCGAUGUGCCUAAGGUAUGCAAGUCGAACGAUUCCUGUAUCUUCGGAUACAGGGAGUUGGCAAACGGCUGAGUAACGCGUAGGAACCUACCCCAAACUCGAGUAUAGCCCCGCGAAAGCGGGGGUAAUCCUCGAUAGCCCGUGAAGUAUUUUACUUCACGGUAAAGCUUUUGCGGUUUGGGAUGGGCCUGCGUCCUAUCAGGUAGUUGGUGAGGUAAAUGCUCACCAAGCCUAUGACGGGUAGCUGGUCUGAGAGGAUGGUCAGCCAGACUGGGACUGCGACACGGCCCAGACUCCUACGGGAGGCAGCAACUAGGAAUUGUGCGCAAUGGACGAAAGUCUGACGCCGCGACAUCGCGUGGAGGAUGAAGGUCUUCGGAUUGUAAACUCCUUUUCUUACCGAACAAGUUCUGAGUGUAGGUAAGGAAUAAGUGCCUGCUAACCACGUGCCAGAAGCAUCGGUAAUACGUGGGGCACGAGCGUUAUCCGGAUUUACUGGGCGUAAAGAGAAGCGUAGGCGGCUCAAUAAGUUUGGUGUUAAAUCUUCCGGCUCAACCGGAAACAAGCACCGAAAACUAUCGAGAUUGAGUCGAGUAGGGAAGAGGGGAAUUCCUGGUGGAGCGGUUAAAUGCGUAGAUAUCAGGAGGAAUACCAAGGGCGAAGGCACCUCUUUGGACUCGUACUGACGCUGAGGCUCGAAAGCGUGGGUAGCAAAACGGAUUAGAUACCCGUGUAGUCCACGCCGUAAACGAUCCCUGUUAGAUGU
rnacentral:rRNA from 1 species